rnacentral:rRNA from 1 species
GCUACGGGAGGCAGCAGUGAGGAAUAUUGGUCAAUGGACGCAAGUCUGAACCAGCCAUGCCGCGUGCAGGAAGACGGCUCUAUGAGUUGUAAACUGCUUUUGUACGAGGGUAAACGCAGAUACGCGUAUCUGUCUGAAAGUAUCGUACGAAUAAGGAUCGGCUAACUCCGUGCCAGCAGCCGCGGUAAUACGGAGGAUUCAAGCGUUAUCCGGAUUUAUUGUGAUUAAAGGGUGCGUCGGAGGUCGGAUAAGUUAGAGGUGAAAUCCUGAGGCUCAACUUCGGAAUUGACUCUGAUACUGUUCGGCUAGAGAUUAGUGGCGGUAGGCGGAAUGUAGGGUGUAGCGGUGAAAUGCAUAGAUAUCACGCAGAACUCCGAUUGCGAAGGCAGCAUACCGGCGCUCAACUGACGCUGAGGCACGAAAGCGUGGGGAUCGAACAGGAUUAGAUACCCGGGUAGUC